rnacentral:rRNA from 1 species
UACGUAGGGCGCAAGCGUUAUCCGGAAUUAUUGGGCGUAAAGAGCUCGUAGGCGGUUUGUCGCGUCUGCCGUGAAAGUCCGGGGCUCAACUCCGGAUCUGCGGUGGGUACGGGGCAGACUAGAGUGAUGUAGGGGGAGACUGGAAUUCCUGGGUGUAGCGGUGAAAAUGCGCAGAUAUCAGGAGGAACACCGAUGGCGAAGGCAGGUCUCUGGGCAUUAACUC